rnacentral:rRNA from 1 species
AAGCACCGGCUAACUACGUGCCAGCAGCCGCGGUAAUACGUAGGGUGCAAGCGUUAUCCGGAAUUAUUGGGCGUAAAGGGCUCGUAGGCGGUUCGUCGCGUCCGGUGUGAAAGUCCAUCGCUUAACGGUGGAUCCGCGCCGGGUACGGGCGGGCUUGAGUGCGGUAGGGGAGACUGGAAUUCCCGGUGUAACGGUGGAAUGUGUAGAUAUCGGGAAGAACACCAAUGGCGAAGGCAGGUCUCUGGGCCGUUACUGACGCUGAGGAGCGAAAGCGUGGGGAGCGAACAGGAUUAGAUACCCUGGUAGUCCACGCCGUAAACGGUGGAUGCUGGAUGUGGGGCCCGUUCCACGGGUUCCGUGUCGGAGCUAACGCGUUAAGCAUCCCGCCUGGGGAGUACGGCCGCAAGGCUAAAACUCAAAGAAAUUGACGGGGGCCCGCACAAGCGGCGGAGCAUGCGGAUUAAUUCGAUGCAACGCGAAGAACCUUACCUGGGCUUGACAUGUUCCCGACGAUCCCAGAGAUGGGGUUUCCCUUCGGGGCGGGUUCACAGGUGGUGCAUGGUCGUCGUCAGCUCGUGUCGUGAGAUGUUGGGUUAAGUCCCGCAACGAGCGCAACCCUCGCCCCGUGUUGCCAGCGGAUUGUGCCGGGAACUCACGGGGGACCGCCGGGGUUAACUCGGAGGAAGGUGGGGAUGACGUCAGAUCAUCAUGCCCCUUACGUCCAGGGCUUCACGCAUGCUACAAUGGCCGGUACAACGGGAUGCGACAGUGCGAGCUGGAGCGGAUCCCUGAAAACCGGUCUCAGUUCGGAUCGCAGUCUGCAACUCGACUGCGUGAAGGCGGAGUCGCUAGUAAUCGCGAAUCAGCAACGUCGCGGUGAAUGCGUUCCCGGGCCUUG